AGUGAACGCUGGCGGUAGGCCUAACACAUGCAAGUCGAACGGCAGCACAGUAAGAGCUUGCUCUUACGGGUGGCGAGUGGCGGACGGGUGAGGAAUACAUCGGAAUCUACUUUUUCGUGGGGGAUAACGUAGGGAAACUUACGCUAAUACCGCAUACGACCUACGGGUGAAAGCAGGGGAUCUUCGGACCUUGCGCGAUUGAAUGAGCCGAUGUCGGAUUAGCUAGUUGGCGGGGUAAAGGCCCACCAAGGCGACGAUCCGUAGCUGGUCUGAGAGGAUGAUCAGCCAGACUGGAACUGAGACACGGUCCAGACUCCUACGGGAGGCAGCAGUGGGGAAUAUUAGACAAUGGGCGCAAGCCUGAUCCAGCCAUACCGCGUGGGUGCAGAAGGCCUUCUGGUUGUAAAGCCCUUUUGUUGGGAAAGAAAAGCAGCAGGUUAAUACCCCGCUGUUCUGACGGUACCCAAAGAAUAAGCACCGGCUAACUUCGUG
rnacentral:rRNA from 1 species